rnacentral:rRNA from 1 species
UGCAUGGCUGUCGUCAGGCUCGUGUCGUGAGAUGUUGGGUUAAGUCCCGGUAACCGAGCGCAACCCUUGUCCUUAGUUACCAGCACGUUAUGGUGGGCGACUCUAAGGAGACUGCCGGUGACAAACCGGAGGAAGGUGGGGAUGACGUCAAGUCAUCAUGGCCCUUACGGCCUGGGCUACACACGUGCUACAAUGGUCGGUACAAAGGGUCGCCAAGCCGCGAGGUGGAGCUAAUCCCAUAAAACCGAUCGUAGUCCGGAUCGCAGUCUGCAACUCGACUGCGUGAAGUCGGAAUCGCUAGUAAUCGUGAAUCAGAAUGUCACGGUGAAUACGUUCCCGGGCCUU